rnacentral:rRNA from 1 species
CCUACGGGAGGCAGCAGUGAGGAAUAUUGGUCAAUGGGCGAAAGCCUGAACCAGCCAAGUAGCGUGCAGGAUGACGGCCCUAUGGGUUGUAAACUGCUUUUAGGCGGGGGUAGAGUGCCGGACGCGUUCCGGUAUUGCAAGUACCGCCAGAAAAAGGACCGGUAAUCCAGCAGCCGCGGUAAU